UACGUAGGGUGCAAGCGUUGUCCGGAAUUAUUGGGCGUAAAGAGCUCGUAGGCGGUCUGUCGCGUCGGAUGUGAAAACCCAGGGCUCAACCCUGGGCCUGCAUUCGAUACGGGCAGACUAGAGUUCGGUAGGGGAGACUGGAAUUCCUGGUGUAGCGGUGAAAUGCGUAGAUAUCUGGAGGAACACCGGUGGCGAAGGCGGCAUCCUGGACCGAAAUUGACGCUGAGGCGCGAAAGCCAGGGGAGCAAACGGG
rnacentral:rRNA from 1 species